CUGGAGAGGCCAAGAAGUACACCAUGGAGAUGACAAUGACUGUAGCAAUCCAGCAGUCUGCUCUUACUGGGUGAUUGUAAGAGGGUAAAGCAGAUGUGCUGAACUUUGUGAUGAUUUUAUAUUCCAGUAAACACCCAGUAAGACAACAUGGGAGGCGCCAGGGCCCGUAUGGGUAUUGGAGAAGUAGUGGACAAAGUCAGACCCAGCCCAGCCAAUGAGGGCAGGGCCUCACUGGUGUUGGUCUCACCAGUAAUGAAUAGAAGAUGCCCAGAGUGAGUGAGACAACUUCCAGGACUAGAACUGUGUAUGGAGCCCAAACCAGGAGAGUCGGGAGAAAGAGGACAGUUGGACAUUAUCUUCAUGGAUGGAAUCUUGCCAGUCUCAUCUUCCAACUGAAAUUCUGGUGUUGUUUCAAGCCAUGAAAAAAAAGCUUCAAUAAAGUCUUUGUGGUGGAGACA
rnacentral:lncRNA from 13 species